UAAAUAUUUUGAUAUGUAUUCGUUUAAUGGGGUUCUGACGGCACCAAUCCUCCAGACAAUGGAAUCAAAUUCUCAGGUCUACUAUGAUGAUAGAAUGGGGACAUUCGUCAGGAACACGCCAUAAUCCCAGGAUAUAUAGUAUUCAGUGAGGAAGGGGAGAUAAGAAGUUGCAGUGUCCCUUGUCCACCCACUCCAUAUCUUUGUUCAUUUAAUUCUUUUAAAAUAUGUUGACGAACAAAUCUCUAAUAAAUCGAUCUUGUCUCGAAGUUCUAAACCCUUGUUCAAAAAGAAAAAAAAGGUUAUAAACCCUUUAACCAAAAAAUUGACUCCAAGUUCUAAA
rnacentral:lncRNA from 1 species